rnacentral:rRNA from 1 species
CUGGUCUUGACAUCCCGGGAAUCUUGUGGAAACACGAGAGUGCCUCGUAAGAGGAGCCCGGUGACAGGUGCUGCAUGGCUGUCGUCAGCUCGUGUCGUGAGAUGUUGGGUUAAGUCCCGCAACGAGCGCAACCCUUGUCUUUAGUUGCCAGCAUUCAGUUGGGCACUCUAAAGAGACUGCCGGUGUCAAACCGGAGGAAGGUGGGGAUGACGUCAAGUCCUCAUGGCCUUUAUGACCAGGGCUACACACGUACUACAAUGGCAUGUACAAAGGGCAGCAACAUCGCGAGGUGAAGCGAAUCCCAAAAGCAUGUCUCAGUCCGGAUUGGAGUCUGCAACUCGACUCCAUGAAGUUGGAAUCGCUAGUAAUCGCGGAUCAGCACGCCGCGGUGAAUACGUUCCC